GGAAGGGUGGCAGAGCGGUUGAAUGCACCUGACUUGAAAUCAGGCGCACCCGCGAGGGUGCCGUGGGUUCGAAUCCCACCCCUUCCGCCA
rnacentral:tRNA from 1 species